rnacentral:rRNA from 1 species
UACGAAGGGGGCUAGCGUUGCUCGGAAUCACUGGGCGUAAAGCGCACGUAGGCGGACUCUUAAGUCGGUGGUGAAAUCCUGGAGCUCAACUCCAGAACUGCCUUCGAUACUGAGAGUCUCGAGUCCGGGAGAGGUGAGUGGAACUGCGAGUGUAGAGGUGAAAUGCGUAGAUAUCUGGAGGAACACCGGUGGCGAAGGCGGCAUCCUGGACCGACACUGACACUGAGGAGCGAAAGCCAGGGGAGCAAACGGG